CCCGUAGCCUGGAGUUCGGGAUGCCCGCUGGAGCGGGCUCCCCGGGAAGGCGGUGCGAAUCCGCCGCGACCCCGUCACUGUAAUCGGGGACGAAACCCACGAUGAAGCCACUGGCCCGCGGGAGCGCGCGCCGGGAAGGCGUGGGGAGUAGGACGAUCCGAGAGCCAGGAGACCGACCCGGACUCCCAGACCAGCC
rnacentral:ncRNA from 25 species